rnacentral:rRNA from 1 species
UACGUAGGGUGCGAGCGUUGUCCGGAAUUAUUGGGCGUAAAGAGCUUGUAGGCGGUUUGUCGCGUCUGCUGUGAAAAUCCGGGGCUCAACCCCGGACUUGCAGUGGGUACGGGCAGACUAGAGUGUGGUAGGGGAGACUGGAAUUCCUGGUGUAGCGGUGGAAUGCGCAGAUAUCAGGAGGAACACCGAUGGCGAAGGCAGGUCUCUGGGCCUUACCUGACGCUGAGGCGCGAAAGCUAGGGGAGCGAACAGG